rnacentral:sRNA from 1 species
AAAAAAAAAAAAAAAAGUAAGGAAAAGUUAAAGCACUUGCUUAUACUUUGCAAUAAAGAGGCAGCCUGGCAAGGUGAGCAUGCGUACACGGCUCGCCGCCAUCUCAGCUCCUCCUACUGUGUUUUCAAGCCCACUGAUGGUCUUCAUUUCACGCUCGCUGUAUCCGUCGAUCCAGUGAUGCUCUGUUGUUGUUGUUGCUGCUGCUGUUGUUGUUGUUGUUGAAAUGCUUAAAAUUUAUGUGAAAAUUCUGAUUUACUUGGUAAGAGAUAGCAAUGAAAUUGUUAUCUUUAUCCUCUUGUCCCGAGGUCUUCGGCCCACUGCAAUGGGAUACCUCCGUGCCGUGGAACGCCUUCGUGCCGUGGGACGCCUCCGUGCGGUGGGACGCCUUCUUGCCGUGGGACUCCUCCGUGCGGUGGGACGCUUUCGUGCUGUGGGACGCCUUCGUGCCGUGGGACGCCUUCGUGCCGUGGGACGCCUCCGUGCCAUGGGACGCCUCCGUGCGGUGGGACCCCUCUCUCCUUGCUUUCCCUUCCUAAGUGUUUCCAGAAGCCAAAUCUGACCCUGCCCCUCUAUUCAGGACACAGGAAGGGCAAGGAUGGGUUGUCUGGCUGUUCUUCCUUUUACAUUCCCCUCCCCGCCCCAGCCUUCUUCACUGUGAUUUUUGAAAACAACUCUUUUAAAAUACCGGUUUCUACAUCAGCUGGGUUGAUUUUUUUUUUCAAAUCCCAUUUCACUUAAAAUCGUAGACCUUCCUUUCUCUUCUCUCAGCGUUAAAUAUGUUAGGGGGAGAGAGGGAGGUCUAAAGACUUGUAAUAAAUGGAGACCUAGGGGUCAGCACAUGAAGGUUUCUAGCUUGCUGGGAAUGGCUCUCCUGUUUCACAAAUGAAGGCACUGAGCUGCAGCCAGGGGGUCCAACUGAAGGCUCAGAGAUGAAUUAGAACACAGGAUUCUUUAUAGGAUCCUGGCAGGUUAAAGGACAAAAAGGAAGGGACCGAGAUACCUGGAGAACUGCCCAGCAGUGUCCCCACAACCUGCAGGCAGUUCCUUCUCAUCCCAGGCCGUGGAGGGCCCUUUGGUCUGCUGCAGCCGCCUACAUGAGGAGGGGGCAGCCGAAGCCCGUGCUGCGCCCAGCCUAAUUUAUUCUGUGUGUAGAACUUGUGAUUUCAUUUCUAUGUUGUUUAGAACCAUAUCCUCUCACAAAUGUUAGGAGCGAUGGAAGUUCACCACGACUGGUGGGAAGUUUAGCGUUGCCUGAGGCAUACUUUGGCUUAUGUGAGUCAGUUGUUCAAUUUCAAUAUGGUUUUAGUUUGUGGAAUUGCUAGAAACAUUAAAAUACAUAUUUACUAGGUUGUGCUUUAGAAGGACUCCACGGGCGGUUUUUAACCACACUCCCAUUGUUCAGGAAAAUCAUGGUCCAGAUUUAUGUUCCUUUGUUGUGUUUGUGUCUGCGGUGUUUUGGUUUGGUUUGGUUUGGCUUUAUUUUUUUGUGGCUGCUUUUUUUAAAAUAUGAAAUACACAGACAACAUAAUAAGGCUGGUACACGGGGAAACAUCUCUUGACAUUUGAUUCUGUCUGUUAACGAUCGUGUAUGAUAAACGUUGCAGGCACAUGUGAACUUCUGAGUGAUCAGAUCCCGAGUCUUUCCUCAUUCAGAAGGACUUCGUUUCUGAUGUUUCCUGUUUUACGUGGUGCAGGAGGAAGGGAGUCCUUCCCAGCCAGGAAAGAUGAAGUUUUUGAUCAUCCUUGACACAAUGCAUCACUGUAUAACGCAAGACUCAUGAACAAAAAAUACCAGGCAGUGGACUUGGGCUGUCAGUCCAUGUGUCUGUCUCCCACACCCCCUUCCAAGGGACAGAGUAGCCAUCUAAUUCACAUAACCCAGCUUGAGCAUACUAGAACAAUGUUAGACACGUGAUCCAAGGACAGCCACUGAGCGAUGUGUCCAACGGUCCAUAAUACAUCCUGUGGUAAAGUGAUUAAACCCCUUCUGUCAGAUGCCCUCCAUCAGGAGCAUGCGUGGAGCGCGCGUAAGCCGAGAGAAAAUGACCGACCAAAACCGAGCUAAGAGACCAGUGUUGAAUGAGGAUGGAGAGGCCAUGACAAUGCUGAGGUGACACAGACAGUACGAUGGGGAAGCAGAUGUGUGCUCUGUGCACACUGGGGAAGACAUGGAGGCAAGUGCCAGAGAAAACCAGACAUCAUGAGAGGAGCCCAUUUAGGUUCUCUGCACUGAAGGAUUUGUGUAACGGACAGAAGAGAAGGCAACGGAAGACCAGCCAGUGCAGGCUUCACUUCUGGGCCCUCCUCGUCCUGUGAGAAUAUUCCAGAGGUUCCUAAGGUGUUCACACGGAGUUUCUUUCUCCUUCCUUUGAGCCUUUAACUAAUCUAAUUUGGGAAACAAAUUAACAUUCCCUUUAAUGCUUCUUAUUUCAAAAUACCAGGCCGAGUUUACUCGGUUUCUCAUUUAAGUCGAGCCUAGUUGAAUCAUUCAUUCAACAACUAUUCAUCCUUAAAUGAAUUCAAUUCAUUCGUUCAACAAAUAUUUAUCAAAAAAAUUUUUUAUAUGGUUGGUACAGCCUUAAACACUGGGGAUGAAGCAGUGACCAAGAUGGACAAAACUCCGUGCUCUGGGGAGUUUAUGAUAAUAUAAAACAUAGACAACGGAAAGUAAAUAUUCAUAAAAAUACAGGCUAUCCCGUAAAAGCCUCGUGCUAUAAAAACAGAAGCAGGUGUACGUAUAGGGCAAUGGAGGCUAUUAAAGAGCCAUUUAUUGGAGACAAUCAGAUUUCGCUCAAUUCAUUUUGUUUUUGUUUUGUUUUGUUUUCCUUUUGCCCCAUAGCUCAUUUUUACGAUCACCAGGGGAACUUUUGGGUUUUUUUAUUUAUCUCCCUAGAGUGCUGUGAAUUGUCGUGCUAGGACUGACCCUGGCCCUCUGCAGUUUUACUUAUUAAUCCCACUUCAUUUAUUAAUUUAUUGUACCUGCCUCAUUCGCAGAAGGGCUUAUGAGAGGGCUCCGAGGCGGCGGCUACAAGCUGCUCUGAUCCUUAGCUACCGAGGAACUCGGUCUUUGUGAAAAUACAGAUACAGAAUCAUUUCCGAAGUAAUUCAUUUUCACUCAUCUGGAGUUGAUUUCUAUGACAAUCUGAGAGUGUCAGUGAGCACUCGGGACCAAGGUUUGCCCGGAAGAUCAAAUGAAAGGGAUAUGGAUCAAUAGCAGCAGCUACUGUUCCCAAGAACCGCAGGUUUUGCAGAAGCCAACUGUGUGAUUUUCUCUCACGGUGUCCCAGCCGUGGAAGGAUGUCCGAAUUGAUCUUGUAAAUCAACAUCCUAGGUCUAAAGGGCUCACAUUAUUGCAUUCCUGUCUCCAUACAACAAUAGAACACAGGAAGGUAGAGGCAGAAAGAGCAGAGAGAAAGAAUCCAUAAAUUACGAAGUCACUUUUUGCAUCCCUCCUCAGGGACAUACGAUGCGGUGGAAUGACGGCGACAAGAAAGGGAGGACGCAGGCGUGAGCGGCUGCCCUCACCUUCACCAGCCCCACCCCUCCCAGCAUCUCCAUUGCCAGAGCUGGGAAAGCUGGCGGAUCUGGGCAAUGCCUUAUCAUGGUAUGAAAGUCAUGGCUAAACAAGUGUGUACUACACAAAACCCAAACCAGGGAGACCUCCUUCUAGCCUCCUGUUGGUGAUCAGCAUCCACUCACUGAAGUACUUGGCGAUAAUUUUCUUAAUUUCUUGGCUUAUUUUGAUGAAGCCUGAUAAUUUUCAUUGUGUACUCUCUAAAGAAUGUCCGAACUAUUUUCAAACGGCUACAUCUCCCGUAAUUUUAAUAGUUAGAGAAAGCUUACCCCACUGUGUAACAGAAAUAAAUUUUCGUCUGUACAAACCACCUCUACAGUGUACAGAACCACUAAUACUUGGUAUUACCGUAUGCUUCAGGCAUGUAUCUGAGAUACUCUUUUUUUGUCUCCCAGAAGCGUUCAUUAAUUUUAUUUAGGCACAUAAAGUUCUACGUGUUCGUUCCUCUGUUGACUUCAAAAGAAGAAGUCCCUAAAAUAGGAGACACGUUUUCCCUAAUUCAGUUUUAGCUUUGAUUUUUCACUGAUAUCUAUUUCAUUCAAAACUAGACGUGUGUGCUAACAAAGUCGUGCACACAAGAUACACACUGGAUGCAAGUUCUGGUAACCAUUAAAGAGGGCAGAUUAAGUCUAGAGAUGGUGGGAUGCUUUAUAGAUGAUAAAAUGUGAUUCAAAUGGAUAUUCUUACUAGUGCUUCUGAUGGCAUGACAUCAAUUAAUUUCCUCCGAGGCUUAUUAUAUAACACACUGGGCCUCAGCUUCCUAAACGACCACGUGGCUCUCUCUUGUCAGUCACCUGAUUUUCAGAAUUGCCAGAAGCACACAUCUGUUUCAAGGCCUGACUGACCAGGUUUUUUCACCCAGGAAGAGGGAAGGGUUCAAACCAACUCCGUGUCUAGAGCUGCCGAAACAUCUGUACAAGCUGGCUGCUUACAUGCUGCCCCUUCUUCAUGGAGGACUCCCCUGUCUCGGAGUCAGGGCUGACAGACAAGGUUGCACCACGUCUGCUAGGCACAGAAUUAAAGCAGUGGCACUAUGUAAUUAAUUCAGGCCAUUUGGCCAGGCCAAUUCACACGCGCUAAUAUGGAAACCGUACCAUCAACUCUUUGAUACUGACGAAAUGUAUUUGGCCACGUGGCUCUCAGGGAUGACUGAGGAACGUCUCUAGUUGGUGGUGGUGUGUGUGUGGCGGUGGUGGGGGUGGGGGGAGAGUUACAGAAGGAUGGCUUCUUGAUAACCAGAUAACAUUAAACUACAAGGAGAGUUUGGAGAGGUUGUGAUUAGGUCAUUAGACCCAUCAAGGACAACAGCUGAGGCCAACAUCUAGACACUGCACUAGAUGUACCCGACGGAACUUUAACAAAGAGAGCAAUGGCUGUAAGUGCAUGCUACGGAGCACGCCCACACCCACGUGUAUUGUGAACGACUUCCUUGAAAACUUCCGAAGGCCUUCAACUACGCAACCAAACAACAUUCGCAAGCCUUCUUCCCCCAGCACAAACCCUACUGCUCGAUAAAUCUGGUGUUUCAUCA